rnacentral:lncRNA from 1 species
UGGUUCCAUACGGAGGUGCUCCGCGGGUCCGGGGCGCCGGCGAAGGCCCUGGCGGCGUCGGCGAGGAGGCCGGCGCCGACGUAGCCGGCGAGGAGGUGGGCGAGGAGGGAGUUGGUGGCGGCGUAGCCGUUGACGACGAGCUGGGCGUGGAUCUGGGCGAGGGCCCUCGGGGCGGCGGCGGCGGGGGCGGCGGCGGCGCGGGGGCUCCGGAGGAGGGAGAAGAGGUGCUGCUGCCGCGCUCUGGAGGUUCUGGGGUAGGCGGGAAGCGCGGGCUCAACGAACAUUUAAAAAAAUGGAAUCGAGACGACAGCUCGGCCUGGCUUUCGUGGCGAUGAUCUCCAUGGGAGGAGGAGAGAGAGAAAAGUAG